rnacentral:rRNA from 1 species
AUUGAACGCUGGCGGCAUGCCUUACACAUGCAAGUCGAACGGCAGCACGGGAGCAAUCCUGGUGGCGAGUGGCGAACGGGUGAGUAAUAUAUCGGAACGUGCCCAGUCGUGGGGGAUAACGUAGCGAAAGCUACGCUAAUACCGCAUACGAUCUAUGGAUGAAAGCGGGGGAUCGCAAGACCUCGCGCGAUUGGAGCGGCCGAUAUCAGAUUAGGUAGUUGGUGAGGUAAAGGCUCACCAAGCCGACGAUCUGUAGCUGGUCUGAGAGGACGACCAGCCACACUGGGACUGAGACACGGCCCAGACUCCUACGGGAGGCAGCAGUGGGGAAUUUUGGACAAUGGGCGCAAGCCUGAUCCAGCAAUGCCGCGUGCAGGAUGAAGGCCUUCGGUGUAACUGCUUUGUUACGUACGAACGGUAGAGCGUCUAA